CCGAUCUUAGCUCAGUUGGAAGAGCGCGAGACUGUAAUGGUUAAUUGGAAUCUUGAGGCCGCCUGUUCAAUCCAGGCAGAUCGGA